rnacentral:rRNA from 1 species
GACGAACGCUGGCGGCGUGCUUAACACAUGCAAGUCGAACGGAAAGGCCCUGCUUUUGUGGGGUGCUCGAGUGGCGAACGGGUGAGUAACACGUGAGUAACCUGCCCUUGACUUUGGGAUAACUUCAGGAAACUGGGGCUAAUACCGGAUAGGAGCUCCUGCUGCAGGGUGGGGGUUGGAAAGUUUCGGCGGUUGGGGAUGGACUAGCGGCUUAUCAGCUUGUUGGUGGGGUAGGGGCUUACCAAGGCUUGGGCGGGUAGCCGGCCUGAGAGGGUGACCGGCCUCAUUGGGACUGCGAUACGGCCCAGACUCCUACGGGAGGCAGCAGUGGGGAAUAUUGCACAAUGGGCGGAAGCCUGAUGCAGCAACGCCGCGUGCGGGAUGACGGCCUUCGGGUUGUAAACCGCUUUCGCCUGUGACGAAGCGUGAGUGACGGUAAUGGGUAAAGAAGCACCGGCUAACUACGUG